CAAUAGCGUAUAUUAAAGUUGUUGCAGUUAAAAAGCUCGUAGUUGGAUUUCUGGGAGGGUGCCAAUGUCCGUCGUCGUACGUGUUGCAGCGGCGCCCUUCCAUCCUUCUGUUAACGACUUUGGGCAUUCAUUUGCCGGAGUCGGGCUCAGAUAUUUUUACCUUGAGAAAAUUAGAGUGUUUCAGGCAGGCUUGCGCCGGAAUACAUUAGCAUGGAAUAAUAGAAUAGGACUUUUGUCUCCUUUGUUGGUUUGAGGGACCGAAGUAAUGAUUAAUAGGGACAGUUGGGGGCAUUAGUAUUUAAUUGUCAGAGGUGAAAUUCUCGGAUUUGUUAAAGACUAACUUAUGCGAAAGCAUUUGCCAAGGAUGUUUUCAUUAAUCAAGAACGAAAGUUAGGGGAU
rnacentral:rRNA from 1 species